UACGUAGGGGGCUAGCGUUGUCCGGAAUCAUUGGGCGUAAAGAGCGUGUAGGCGGCUUGGUAAGUCCGCUGUGAAAGUCCAGGGCUCAACCCUGGAAAGCCAGUGGAAACUGUCAAGCUAGAGUCCGGAAGAGGCGAGUGGAACUCCUGGUGUAGCGGUGAAAUGCGCAGAUAUCAGGAAGAACACCCGUGGCGAAGGCGGCUCUCUGGAACGCAACUGACGCUGAGACGCGAAAGCGUGGGGAGCAAACAGG
rnacentral:rRNA from 1 species